ensembl:lncRNA
GUGUUUUUUUCCCCUGAAUGGUGGGAUGUAUUUCUUGAAUCGCUCAGGCUGUGAGUCAGGUGGACCAGGGAAGAAAGGGCUCUAAACAAGAACACAAACGAAACCUGCAUUCCGAGCACAGCUCGUUAGUCACCAACACAGACAUGUGCAGACAUUAAAAGCUGGUUAAAUUCCUGCGUGCCGCUCGGCAUCUGAGCUCCCGGCAGCACUAUGAAGCGGUGGACAAAAACAGGUGCUGGAUGGAGAGAGAAGAGAACUCUGCCAUGAGUAACCUACAGAGGCAGGAAAUGAAGGAGGGAAUAAACUUGACAGAGACGAAUGCGGGAAGCCUCCAUUCAUCACUGAUGCCUUCGCUUACACGUCCACGCGAAGACAGAUGGAGAAAAAGAGGUGUGCCGUGAGCGUGAGGAAUACAUUAAACGAGUACCACGGCGGAUUUAAAGGAUUUUUAGAUAUCAAUAAAUCCACGCCCUAUUUUAUGGCAGCGUGUGCAUUUGUUUUUUCAAGCCAUUCAAAUGACCAAACGAUGUACAAAGAGUCUGACUUUCACACGAUUGAUCGGCGUCUUACUCUCCCGUCCAGAAUGUUUUCCACCCUUAACCAAGGAGUUUUUUUUUCAAACCCGACAUGAUGAUCCUGGUGGAUUCUCAAUUUAACCAAAGCAUCACUCACUGGCACAUCUGGGUGUCUUGAAUCACUUGAGUCAUGUGGAUUAAUACGUUAUAACGAAAC